rnacentral:pre_miRNA from 4 species
AAGGACAUCUGUUCACAUCUUACCGGGCAGCAUUAGAUCCUUUUUAUAACUCUAAUACUGUCAGGUAAAGAUGUCGUCCGUGUCCUU